rnacentral:lncRNA from 1 species
UGCGUGCCGCUGGGGCUGGAGGAGUCCCUUGGGAAGAGCCGCAGCGUGCAGGGCCACGUGUGGGGGGGUGUCUAGCUGAACCAGAGAAUCAGAAACACUGGCUCAGUGGGGUACGCAGAGCCCCCGCCUUCCAGAGGGCCCAGAUCCCAGGAGGAGGCCUUCGGGUUUUGGCUGUAUGUGUUGAUCCUGGUUGGCCCCAGGUGCAGCUGUGGGGCCCUUUGGGGUCUCUGUGAAUCCUGGGUUAGCAAGGAGACUUCGUUCCGCUCUGCCGCCAGGAGAGGCAGAUGUCGCUGUCCCUCCUGUGGGGGGUGUGAGCCCUGCCAGCCCUGCCUCCACAAGGAGGGGCCUCUGCCCCAGUUCUGUGCGUGGCCCACGUGGGUGCCCGCCUGUGUCCACCCCUCCCCUGCCUUCGGCUGGAGCUUCCUGCAGGAGCGGAAUGAGCGGCUGAUGGGGUUCCUACCGUGCCGCUCACACGGUGCUGGUGCCUUGCGUGGGGAGCAGAGCUCCGCUGGGACAAGACCGACGGGGGGACGCGCUCACUCCCUGCUGUGGCUCUGAGUCCCUGUGGACCCUCUGCCCACCCUGGGCUUCCCACGCUCCGGUGAGGAUGAGCCGCUGCACUGCCGGGCGUGUUGGCAGGUAGAGCCCGUCUGCCAGCCUGCUGUCGUGCUGUGGGAACUUGGCCAGCUGCAGCCUGGGCUGUGAAGGAUCUGGAGCCACCUGGCGUCCGAGGGGUUAAAACCAAAGCAAGCACAACUUGGGAGACUCCAGCACACUCAUCGCUCAAGGUCACAGCAAGCCUGUUUCCAGCGCUCCACGCCGCAGUCACCAUCGCCGUCUCGGUGGCCCCUUUAAAAUGGCACCACCCUCUCCCCUCCGGGGGGCUCGGCCUUGCCCAGGGGCCCAGCGGGGAGGUAGAGAAUGCACAGGGGCCUGAGGACCAGGAGUCUCCACCGCGCUGCCCCUGGACCUGCCCGCCGGGCGGCCGCCGAGUGGGGCCACCUGCCAGCGGUGAACACGGCCACGGCUCCGCUCCCUUCCUAAAGGGUCCCACGAUGGGCACGGCGCGUUCGCAGGCGGUUUCGAGUAUCAGGGAACGACGUGUGUACAUGUGUGCACGCGCGUGUGUGUGUACACGUGUGUAUGCGGCUUAGGUAACUGCCGUGGGAAAGCGCUCCCUGGGUCUGGUUCCGGGCAUCUUGUGCUGUCCGUGCGCCUCUCUGCCCUGUGGCGGCCCGCUGUUUGUCUUAGAAGCUGCCCAGAACAGAAGCACCGCGUGGGUGAAGUGGUGGUGGCUUGGCUGAAUAAAAACGCACUGCCUGGUGGCGGUCCCCCGCCU